UACGUAGGGGGCAAGCGUUGUCCGGAAUCAUUGGGCGUAAAGAGCGUGUAGGCGGCCAGAAAAGUCCGCUGUGAAAACUCGAGGCUCAACUUCGAGCUGUCGGUGGAAACUUUCUGGCUAGAGUCCGGAAGAGGAGAAUGGAAUUCCUGGUGUAGCGGUGAAAUGCGCAGAUAUCAGGAGGAACACCAAUUGCGAAGGCAGCUCGCUGGGACGUUACUGACGCUGAUGCGCGAAAGCGUGGGGAGCAAACAGG
rnacentral:rRNA from 1 species